UAUAUACUCCUUUCGUUCGGAAUUACUUGUCACAAAAAUGAAUGUAUCUAUAACUAAAAUAAAUCUAGAUACAUUAAUUUCUUGGACGAGUAAUUCCGAACGGAGGGAGUACGAU
rnacentral:pre_miRNA from 1 species